rnacentral:antisense_RNA from 1 species
UGCGGUAGCGAGGGAAUUUUUUUGGUGUUACUAGUCGCCUAUUUAUCAUUGCGUUUGCGUAGUCAUUUCGCAGAUAAAGCAACGACGCAAC